GACGUAGGGCGCGAGCGUUUGUCCGGAUUUAUUGGGCGUAAAGAGCUCGUAGGCGGUUUGUCGCGUCUGCUGUGAAAACUCAGGGCUUAACCCUGAGCCUGCAGUGGGUACGGGCAGACUAGAGUGUGGUAGGGGAGAUCGGAAUUCCUGGUGUAGCGGUGGAAUGCGCAGAUAUCGAGGAGGAACACCGGUGGCGAAGGCGGAUCUC
rnacentral:rRNA from 1 species